rnacentral:rRNA from 1 species
GAUGAACGCUAGCUACAGGCUUAACGCAUGCAAGUCGCAGGGUAACAUGAGGAAAGCUUGCUUUCCUUGAUGACGACUGGCGCACGGGUGAGUAACGCGUAUCCAACCUUCCCAUAACUACGGGAUAACCCGUUGAAAGACGGCCUAAUACCGUAUGAUAUCGUUUGCUGACAUCAAAUAACGAUUAAAGGUUUAGCGGUUAUGGAUGGGGAUGCGUCUGAUUAGCUUGUUGGCGGGGUAACGGCCCACCAAGGCGACGAUCAGUAGGGGUUCUGAGAGGAAGGUCCCCCACAUUGGAACUGAGACACGGUCCAAACUCCUACGGGAGGCAGCAGUGAGGAAUAUUGGUCAAUGGGCGAGAGCCUGAACCAGCCAAGUAGCGUGCAGGAUGACGGCCCUAUGGGUUGUAAACUGCUUUUAUGUGGGGAUAAAGUGCGUGACGUGUCAUGCAUUGCAGGUACCACAUGAAUAAGGACCGGCUAAUUCCGUGCCAGCCGCCGCGGUAAAAGGG